GAUGAACGCUAGCGGCAGGCCUAACACAGGCAAGUCGAGGGGCAGCACAGAAACAGCAAUGUUUUGGUGGCGACCGGCGGACGGGUGCGUAACGCGUAUGCAACCUACCUUUAACAGGGGGAUAACGGAGAGAAAUUUCCACUAAUACCCCAUAACAUCGAUCAAGGCAUCUUGAUUGGUUGAAAACUCCGGUGGUUAAAGAUGGGCAUGCGUUGUAUUAGGUAGUUGGUGAGGUAAUGGCUCACCAAGCCUACGAUACAUAGGGGGACUGGGAGGUUAGCCCCCCACACUGGUACUGAGACACGGACCAGACUCCUACGGGAGGCAGCAGUGAGGAAUAUUGGUCAAUGGGGGCAACCCUGGACCAGCCAUACCGCGUGCAGGAAGACGGCUCUAUGAGUUGUAAACUGCUUUUAAACAGGGAUAAAGCACAGUAUGUAUACUGUGUUGAAGGUACUGUAAGAAUAAGGAUCGGCUAACUCCGUGCCAGCCGCCGCAGUAA
rnacentral:rRNA from 1 species